ACGCCAGUCUGCAUGGAGCCGACCUUGAAAUACCACCCUUUAAUGUUUGAUGUUCUAACGUUGACCCCUAAUCGGGGUUGCGGACAGUGUCUGGUGGGUAGUUUGACUGGGGCGGUCUCCUCCUAAAGAGUAACGGAGGAGCACGAAGGUUGGCUAAUCCUGGUCGGACAUCAGGAGGUUAGUGCAAUGGCAUAAGCCAGCUUGACUGCGAGCGUGACGGCGCGAGCAGGUGCGAAAGCAGGUCAUAGUGAUCCGGUGGUUCUGAAUGGAAGGGCCAUCGCUCAACGGAUAAAAGGUACUCCGGGGAUAACAGGCUGAUACCGCCCAAGAGUUCAUAUCGACGGCGGUGUUUGGCACCUCGAUGUCGGCUCAUCACAUCCUGGGGCUGAAGUAGGUCCCAAGGGUAUGGCUGUUCGCCAUUUAAAGUGGUACGCGAGCUGGGUUUAGAACGUCGUGAGACAGUUCGGUCCCUAUCUGCCGUGGGCGCUGGAGAACUGAGGGGGGCUGCUCCUAGUACGAGAGGACCGGAGUGGACGCAUCACUGGUGUUCGGGUUGUCAUGCCAAUGGCACUGCCCGGUAGCUAAAUGCGGAAGAGAUAAGUGCUGAAAGCAUCUAAGCACGAAACUUGCC
rnacentral:rRNA from 1 species